UAAUUUAUGGGCAUCUGCACAAAAUACUCAAAAAAUAAUGACAGAUCGUAACAAAUGUGCUUCAAGGGUUUCAAGUGGUAGAUCAGCACGACAAUUUCACUGAAUGCUGAUACAGCCCAAAAGUUCAAAGAUUUGCAGCUUGUGCCAGGAGAGUCCCAGAAGUGUCAAAUAAAUUUCGGGAAUAAAGUGACACUAAAUGAAAACACUAUAAACAGUCAUUUUAUAGCCAGUGCGAUGCUAUUGAAGUUUUAUUUAAAUCAGGUUAUAAAAUAAAAGGCAAAACUUA